rnacentral:misc_RNA from 1 species
GGUGAUCACAUUCUCGUAGAAAAGGUAAAAAUUUGUAUGCCCUUAGUUUAAUUCAAUAUUCAUAUUUGGUAUGAAACAUAGGGUGCUUAACAACCAAAAAUCAAAUCCGUCUUAUUCCUAUCAAUGAUGACUUAGCAUUGUGGAUACAUUCUACUUCAUGGUGGCAAUUGUUUGUGGUUUUCUAUGGGUAUUGUGAUAGCCUAGUAUUGUAUUAUGUUCGCGAGAUUGGAGAAAAAAUCUAUGUUAUCUAUGUAGAAGCAAUCUAUUUUUUAUUAAAAGAAAAAUUGAAAAUUUUGUUGAUAAUCAUCUUUCAAAUAAACAAAAUUAUAGAAGAAAUAAAUUUGACAUCCGUUAGGAUGAGCGCUUUCAAAUUUUGAUCAUUAAGGUUAAUGCUGGUUGUUCCAAUUAAUUAGGUAUUUAUAACACGAGGAAGAGCCAAUUAGAAAGAAGAUGGUACAAUUCAUUAGUUAAAAAAGAAUUUGAAGCUUUAAUGGCCAUUCAGAAUCAACUAGCUAGUGGAAAUGCUUAUUCCAAAUAAGAUGAGUAUAAAGCUCAUAAUAGUGAUAAACCAGUAAAAUAAGGUAACAAAUUAUCAAGUUUGGCCUACUAGCUACUGAUAGAUUGGCCCCAAACAUAUAUUGCUUAGAAACUAGACUGCUAUCACUUGAAAGCUGCAGAUUUCCACAGAAGAAGCAUCUCUGAAAGAUACUUAUGAUGAGAGAUGUAAGGGCAGUGUCUUCUUGCACAAAUAUAAUGUGGAUAAUGAGAAGGAUAUAAUUAAUAUAGAAGGACAGGACCAGACUACCUGCAGGAAGCUGCCCUGUAAUUUAGCUGAAACUUUUGGCCAUUACGUUGAACUAGUAGUAGCCCAUAAAUUUAGGAGUUGGAUAUGGGGGAAUUUGGAUAGGAUAAGACUGAUAGCUAUGAUUGAUUAAUUGUUUGUAUAAAUGGAUUUGAUAGUAUAACUUUUUCCAGAAGUGAAUAUAUAGUGAGAAGCUUAACUUAAUUACCAAGCUAAUUCAUCUUUAAUUGUGGCAAGAAUUAUUAUUUUGGCUUUUUGGGAUGGGGAUUUGAGUGGGCAUAAGCAUAAUGUCACCAAAAAUUGAAAUUUAACUGGUGUGGAAACCAGGGCCUACUAUGUUAUGCCACCAUUUUUGUCUAUGCGCCCAAGUGAGACUCGGCAGGUUCCAUGCAUAUCAUGCCUUACCACUCUUAAAUAGGACAGAUAACCCAAAAAUAAGAAGCGUCAAGAUAAUGGAGAAAAAAGAAGUGAGAUAAUUUGCUUAUCAAGAAAGAGGAAAACAAUAAUAGGAUCCUAUAAUUGAUUCACUUGCAUGAUUGAGUUUUAAAUAGCUAACGCCUCUAAGGCACACUCAAGCUAUGUGAAAUUUCAUCAAGUUUCCUUGUUCCUUCUCUUACCAUGUACAGCACGUUUUAAUGUGAUUUAGUCCUUUGCAGAUAGCCUUCAUCCAUAGUCUGAGUUACUGUUCUUACUGCUAUUUGAUAAAGUUAAUUUUAACUUGCUAGCUUUGGAUGCAUGCAUGUCCUACUUGUAUUGGUAGGUCUCAUAUACACUAUAAUAUCAACAAAGAAUGCCUGAGCUCUUUAAUCUUUAUUUUAUUUUUUUGUUCAUGUAUUUGAAUCAUUGCAUUAAUUAGUGCACCUUUCAAGUGCAAGACUAGUUUCUUAAGAAGUUUGCAGAACACUUGAGUGCCCUUGCCAUU